GUUGUCGUGGCCGAGUGGUCAACGCGAUAGACUAGAAAUCGUUUGGGAUCAACCGCGCAGGUUCGAAUCCUGCCGACAAUG
rnacentral:tRNA from 1 species